rnacentral:rRNA from 1 species
UACGUAGGGUGCGAGCGUUAAUCGGAAUUACUGGGCGUAAAGCGUGCGCAGGCGGUUUGCUAAGACCGAUGUGAAAUCCCCGGGCUCAACCUGGGAACUGCAGUGGUGACUGGCAGGCUAGAGUAUGGCAGAGGGGGGUAGAAUUCCACGUGUAGCAGUGAAAUGCGUAGAGAUGUGGAGGAAUACCGAUGGCGAAGGCAGCCCCCUGGGCCAAUACUGACGCUCAUGCACGAAAGCGUGGGGAGCAAACAGG